UACGGAGGAUCCAAGCGUUAUCCGGAUUUAUUGGGUUUAAAGGGUGCGUAGGCGGCGUUGUAAGUCAGUGGUGAAAGCUUUCAGCUUAACUGGAAAAUUGCCAUUGAUACUGCAGUGCUUGAGUACAGAUGAGGUGGGCGGAAUUUGUCAUGUAGCGGUGAAAUGCAUAGAUAUGACACAGAACACCAAUUGCGAAGGCAGCUCACUAAGCCGUAACUGACGCUGAGGCACGAAAGCGUGGGUAUCAAACAGA
rnacentral:rRNA from 1 species